rnacentral:rRNA from 1 species
AAACUUAAAUGAAUUGACGGGGGCCCGCACAAGCGGCGGAGCAUGCGGAUUAAUUCGAUGCAACGCGAAGAACCUUACCUGGGUUUGACAUAUACCGGAAACAUCUGGAGACAGGUGCCCCGCAAGGUCGGUAUACAGGUGGUGCAUGGCUGUCGUCAGCUCGUGUCGUGAGAUGUUGGGUUAAGUCCCGCAACGAGCGCAACCCUCGUUCUAUGUUGCCAGCGGUUCGGCCGGGAACUCAUAGAAGACUGCCGGGGUCAACUCGGAGGAAGGUGGGGAUGACGUCAAGUCAUCAUGCCCCUUAUGUCCAGGGCUUCACGCAUGCUACAAUGGCUGGUACAAAGGGCUGCAAUACCGCAAGGUGGAGCGAAUCCCAUAAAGCCAGUCUCAGUUCGGAUUGGGGUCUGCAACUCGACCCCAUGAAGUCGGAGUCGCUAGUAAUCGCAGAUCAGCAACGCUGCGGUGAAUACGUUCCCGGGCCUUGUACACACCGCCCGUCAAGUCAUGAAAGUCGGUAACACCCGAAGCCGGUGGCCUAACCCUUGUGGAGGGAGCCGUCGAAGGUGGGACCGGUAAUUAGGACUAAGUCGUAACAAGGUAGCCGUACCGGAAGGUGCGGCUGGAUCACCUCCUUU